GGCCGGGCCGCCCAGAGCUCGCCAUUGGGCCUCACUCCCGGGGUCCCGAGCGCCGGCCAUGCUGAUUGGCCGCUGGGGCUUCAUUCACAGCCCCCCUACAGUCCGCAUACACACUCACGCCCCGGGGGCGCGGCCGCCACGUGGGGAGUGGCGCGGGGGUGGUACUGGGACCGCACCCCCUCUCGUCCUGGCUGCGUGGGCCCGCUUUCCCCGGUCUCUGGAGACUCCGAGCCCGGCGGGUCCCACGCUCCACGCGAGCAGAAUUCCCGCAGGUCUCCCGCCCGGGUGGCCAGAGGCGGUGGCGGGGAUGGCGGGCUCCGGGAGGCGCUCCGGCUCCGAGAAGCCGCUUAGCCCCGCGCUCCUCCCUCCGCAGUGCCGCCGCCGGCGGGCCGGGAUUCCCGCGGGUCUCGGCGGCCGCGAGCUGCAGGCGGCGCGGGUCCCCGGCUCGGUUGGUCACCUUGCCCGCCUCGCCUCCCACGGCUUCCAGCGGGCGCGGAGCUCUCCUCUGCGCGCCUCCCCGGCCCGUCUCGGUUUCCCUUCUUCGUCCUCUAGACCAUCCAGCGCAACUCCGUCGACCUCCGCGGCCCUGAGAGAGCAUCCGGCGCGGGCAGAGGCGUACCGGCCCGACCUCACGCCUCUCAUGGACUCUUCUCCAGGGUACCAUGGCCCAGGGAGUUCCUAG
rnacentral:lncRNA from 1 species